GUGGUAGUUGUGGAAGCCCUCGCCUGGAAGAGAAGCACGGGGAGUAGUUAGGGGGCUCGGUGACUGCUGCCUCCUGAUCUUCACAUUCCUCUGACCUGUUGUGUACCUCAACCUUUGGAAAAUCCUGAUGUUGGUAAUGUUGCGAGUGAACUUCGCUGUGAAGGGGCAGAGGAGUGAGAAGAAAUAUGAGCACCGCUAGUGACAAAGGAAACCCCAAUGCCUAUAUAAUCAGCUCACAGCCAUGAGCAGAGAAAUGUCUUCGGAAUGCUCAGCAUUGGUUAGAACAGAAGGAGAAUUUUAAAGACUGGCCUGGAUUUACUAGAACACCGGAAGGACGGCAGGCAGUCUCCUGUUUAUCCACUGGAAUUUGAUUGGUCUUUCACUGUGACCCUAAGAGGUGGGUACUACAUAGAGAAUAACAAUAUGGAGAGAUUCAAGAACUCACCCAUGGGGUGGGCAAGAUGGCUCAGGAGGAAAAGGUGCUCGGUGCAAAGCUUGGUGACCUGAGUUUCAUCCCGGACCAUGCAUGCACGGUGGAAGGAGAGAACCGGUUCCGGCAACUUGUCCUCUGAGCAGGCAUUCCUCAAACCCACCACAUUUUUUAAAAAUAUAAUUUAUUUAGAUUCAUUUUAUGUGCAUUGGUGUGAGGGUGUCAGAUCCCCUGGAACUGGAGUGAUAGUUGUGAGCUGCCAUGUGGGUGCUGGGAAUUGAACCCAGGUCCUCUGGAAGAGCAGUCAAUGCUCUUAACCACUGAGUCAUCUCUCCAGUCCCCACCACAAUUUUUUUUUAAAUUUUAUUUUCUGUUGUUCUAUUAACCCAAUACAAGCUAGAAUUAUCUGAGAAGACAGAACCAAAAACUGAGAAAAUUGCUCCCAUAAGACUGGCAAGAUUGUGGGACAUUUUUCUUAGUCAAGGAUUGAUGUGGGGGGGCCCAUUCCCUCUAGGUGGUGAUCCUGAGGUGCAUAAGAAAGCUGGCUGAGCAAGUCAUGAGGAGCAAUAAGCAGCUUUCCUCCAUGGCUGUGCUUCAGCUUCUGCCUUGAGUUCCUGCCCUGACUUGCUUUGAUAAUGGACUGUUAUGUGGAUGUGUAAGCGAAACAAACCCUUUCCUUCCCCAAGUCACUUUGGUAAAUUAUCACAGCAAUAGAAACCCUGAGACUCAUGGAUAUGGCUGUUUCACCUGCACGGGUGUCCACUGUACACCUUAUGGCCACAAGGACAGAAGACAGCAUCAGAUCCUUUGGGCUGGAGUUGUGAGCCACCGUGUGUGUGCUGGGAAUCAAAUCCUGCCCCCCUUGAGGAACAACCAGCGCUCUUAACCACUGAGUCACCUCUCCAGCCCCAGGGAAAUGUGAUUUUAAAAAGGAAAAGAAAAAGAACUCACUCCUAGUUGUACUGAUGCUUUUGUAAAGGGGCUAGGAAAUAGGCAGGCAGCCUCCGAUUGAGGCAGGAAGUUUGCAGAGUCAAGGCCAGCCAGGGCAACUUAGUCAGCUCCUGCCUUAUAAUUAAGAAAAUAGUGAAUAAGAAGCCUGGGGAUGUGGCUCAGUGGCCCAGUGCCUGAUUAGCCUGUGUGAGAACCUAAAUUCUACACCUCAGUACAGGGGGAAAAAAUCACAAGUAAAUCAGUAUCACCCUGUCCCUGCUCCUGCCCUGUGUGCACCUAGCUUUAUGUCACCUUGACACAAGCCAGAGUCACCGGAGAGGAGAAAAUGCCUCCACAGGAUCCGGCUGUAGGCAAACAAGCCCGCGUAUUUCCAGCCCUAUUGGAAUUCCUGGACUAACUUCCCUCAGUGCGACAGGGAAGUGUAAGCCAAUCGGGUCUCUCUCCUUUUCCUUCCUUUCUAUCCUUCCAUUCUUCCCCGCCUUUCCGUCCAAACCGACAUUGAGUAAGCAAAGCAUGUGUCUUCGUGUUGGCAGACAGAGGUGCCAAGAAUUGGAUCCUGAAGGGACUCUAGUCCACUGGCCCUGUGGCUCUGGUGGGCCUGCCCUUCUCUCCCAUUCCCUCUGCCUUUGCUAAAAAGAUUAAAUUGCAUUUCUAAAGCUAGCCACCAAGGUCUAUUCCCUUAUUUGGUCACUUCCUCCACCUGAGGCUGACGACCAAAAUCCAGCAAUCGGAAGGCCUUUUUGGUUCACCUAAUUAUCAAGCCCAAUUAAAAUUAAACACCUCAUCCUAACGUGGGGUUUCCCCUCUGUGGCCAUUUGCCCGUGCUAGCCUGUCUCCUCUCUAUCCUUUGUCCCUCUGGGAUAAAUAUCCCUGCCCCCUUCCUUUGUUGCCAUCUCCUUUUCCAGGACAUCCUCGCCCAUUCUAACACAGACCUCCCCUUUCCUCCUAAGUGUGACACCUACAAGGUCUGAGUCACAAAGCAGCCACUUGAACUUCUCUUCCCUGCUCUGUGAAAACAGGUGUUUGGUGUGCUUCGUGCGUCAUCCGGGAUCUGGACGGGACCCCCACUGCGUGGGAGUCCUCCUGAGGUCCUACAGUGUACGUAGGUGAGGGGCCUCUUCAAAGCAUUGCCUGGCGCUGGGUGCUGGAGCUGGAGGGUGGUAACACCAAACAUCCACGUGGAGAGCCGGCCUGGUAUGAGGUGUUGAACUCCAAUACGGGAAAGAAAUAGAACAUUUAGUUCAACUUAGAGGAUUUUUAAUGAUUAAUAAUUUAAUAAUUAAUCAUUUUAAUUUAGUUCAUUUAGGGGAAUUUUAAAAUAAUUUCCACCCCUGUGAGCACCCUUCAGCACCCACCCGUGCCCCCCCCCCUUCCUGAAGUCUGCAGCGGGAGCCUCCAGUCUCCAGUUUCCUGGUUGUGGUGCUGAGAAUUUUAACCCUAAUGUUCACCGUUUUUUUUUUUUAAUAAAAGUAUUCUUUUUGGCAAUAAUAAUAAUAAU